UCCGGUGAUUCUAUCGGCAGGGUCACACCCGUUCCCAUCCCGAACACGGUAGUUAAGCCUGCUUGAGCCGAUGAUACUGCACCUUUCAGGUGUGGGAAAGUAGGUAGUCGCCGGAU
rnacentral:rRNA from 1 species